rnacentral:rRNA from 1 species
AAUCAUUUGUCUUUUAAAUGAAGACUUGUAUGAACGGCAAAACCUUUUCCAACUGUCUCCCCUCCCAUCCUUUCAAAUUUCUUCCUGUGUGAAGAAGCACAGAUACAUUAGAAAGACGAGAAGACCCUGUCGAGCUUUAACCACUAAGUGGGCCCUAUUUUUUUCAGGCACCACUAAAAGGUUUUGGUUGGGGCAACCAUGGAGAAAAAAAAUCCUCCAGAGCAAAUAGAAGAAAGCUUUUCACUAUUUUUACUACUGAGAACCAGGAACUGGUAUUCGGAAAAAGUUACCGCAGGGAUAACAGCGUCAUCUCCUCUGAGAGUCCUUAUUGACGAGGAGGUUUGCGACCUCGAUGUUGGAUUGGGGCCCCCUUAGGGUGCAGAAGCUCUAAACGGUUAGACUGUUCGUCUAUUAAAGCCCUACAUGAUCUGAGUUCAAACCGGAG